UACGUAGGGGGCAAGCGUUGUCCGGAAUCAUUGGGCGUAAAGCGCGCGUAGGCGGCCCGGUAAGUCCGCUGUGAAAGUCGGGGGCUCAACCCUCGGAUGCCGGUGGAUACUGUCGGGCUUGAGUGCGGAAGAGGCGAGUGGAAUUCCUGGUGUAGCGGUGAAAUGCGCAGAUAUCAGGAGGAACACCAAUUGCGAAGGCAGCUCGCUGGGACGUUACUGACGCUGAUGCGCGAAAGCGUGGGGAGCGAACAGG
rnacentral:rRNA from 1 species